CCUACGGGAGGCAGCAGUGGGGAAUAUUGCACAAUGGGCGCAAGCCUGAUGCAGCCAUGCCGCGUGUAUGAAGAAGGCCCUAGGGUUGUAAAGUACUUUCAGUCGGGAGGAAGGCGUUGAUGCUAAUAUCAUCAACGAUUGACGUUACCGACAGAAGAAGCACCGGCUAACUCCGUGCCAGCAGCCGCGGUAAUACGGAGGGUGCAAGCGUUAAUCGGAAUUACUGGGCGUAAAGCGCACGCAGGCGGUCGAUUAAGUUAGAUGUGAAAUCACCGGGCUUAACCUGGGAAUGGCAUCUAAGACUGGUCAGCUAGAGUCUUGUAGAGGGGGGUGGAAUUCCAUGUGUAGCGGUAAAAUGCGUAGAGAUCUGGAGGAAUACCGGUGGCGAAGGCGGCCCCCUGGACAAAGACUGACGCUCAGGUGCGAAAGCGUGGGGAGCAAACAGGAUUAGAUACCCUAGUAGUC
rnacentral:rRNA from 1 species